CUGAGACCCAUAAGGUCAGGACAAGGAUGCCAGGAGGUGGGAGACCUCUGAGCUGCUGCAACCAUGGUGUUUGGCCUUGCAAUGGGUUGCUCAGAGCGCUAAUUGCAGCACAUGGCUAAGGGCGAGUGUACCUCCAGGCCAGAUGGAAUUGAACUGGAAGUGAACAUUGCUGGUCUCGGAAAUGGGCUUAUGCUGGGGCCAGAACUGACUGGGAAUACUUCCCUGGAACUUCUGCUGCCUCAGCAAAAUAUCUACCAAGAAAUUAUGGAAUCGAGGCCAAAUGGAGCAGGAUUCAUCCAGGAGAUGAAAGCUCAGAGUUGAACCAAACCUGUUUCGGAGCAGUUUUAGACUGAAACGUUUCUGUGUUUCCCACUCUGACAUCCUGAAAUUCCUCGUGGAAGGAAUCUUUGCCCUCUGCAUGGCCUCCUAUAGUCCAGACAGAUGGAUGCAUGAGAUGGAGAAGGAAGGAGGAGAAUGAGGAGGCAGUGUGGAGCAGAACGGCAAUCCUGGGAAAGGAUCCUGGUCCAGUUGCUAUGGAUGGUAGGAUGUGGUCCUACAACCUCCCCCACAGGAUGUGUGGGUCCGGGACUGGCCCAAGCACGUGUCCCACUCCUGAUGCAGCCCGGGGUGUACAGAGGUUGUUUUUCACCGAAUGGAGGUUUUUCCCUGAGGUUUGUGCAAGAUGCUCUCAGAGAGAGCUAUAAAUACCGCAGUGCUUCCUGUGCGGCUCUGCGAGGAGGAAGCUGCUUCCCCAGCAGGGGAAGGAGGCAGCGGGCGUCCCGGUGGAACAGGGCCACGGGAUGUAGAUUCCAAUCUGCAGGUAGUGAAUGGGGCUUUUUUGCACAGAGGCUCUUUACACACAGAACUGUGACUCCUGGAGCGAGAUACGAUCUGUCCCACACAAGGACAGAGCUCUGCUAAGUGGCCCAUCCUGCUGGGCUGCAGCCCCUACCUGAGCGCUCUCCCACCUGAAGUCACACUGGUGCCCUUCAGAUGGUUUUCAUUUGAACUCCCAGAUCUUCUUCUACCUAUUUCCCAAACAAGAGGACAAACCUGCUUCUUUAACAACAACCAAGCCACCCUCGCCACACUGCAAAGAGCUUCCUCAGCAUCCCGGUUUGAAACACUCUCUUUUCCUUCCUAAUGUCUGUGUC
ensembl:lncRNA